UGUAAAAUAAGUUAAAUAAACUAUUGGGCUCAUGAUUCAAAUAUAGGAAUGAAAAUUUUCUUUUUACUU
rnacentral:tRNA from 1 species